rnacentral:rRNA from 1 species
GAUGAACGCUGGCGGCGUGCCUCAAACAUGCAAGUCGAGCGAGGCUAUGAAUUACCGCAAGGUAAGGCAUAGCCUAGCGGCGAACGGGUGAGUAACACUGGGUAACCUACCUGGAAGACAGGGAUAACGAUUCGAAAGGGUCGCUAAUACCUGAUAAUAUCCGUCUGCCGGAUGGCGGAGGGAAGAAAGGGGAAACCCGCUUUCAGAUGGGCCCGCGUCCCAUCAGCUAGUUGGUAAGGUAAAGGCUUACCAAGGCGACGACGGGUAGCCGGUCUGAGAGGAUGUACGGCCACACUGGGACUGAGAUACGGCCCAGACUCCUACGGGAGGCAGCAGUUGGGAAUCUUAGGCAAUGGACGAAAGUCUGACCUAGCGACGCCGCGUGAGGGAAGAAGGCCUUCGGGUUGUAAACCUCUGUCAUGGGGGAAGAAGGAAGUGACGGUACCCCAAGAGGAAGCCCCUGCUAACUACGUG